rnacentral:rRNA from 1 species
UGGUUAUUAUAUCUCCACUAAUAAGCAGAGAGGGGGUUAAACCUUUGAAGUAAGUUAUGUGGAUCAAGGUAUGGUGAUUAAUUGGAGUUCUAGUUCAUUUACUUUUGAGAAAAUUAGAGUGUUUAAAGCAGCCUCUUGGGGCACUGAAUACAUUAGCAUGGGAUAAUAAAAUAGGAUCUUCACAAUAUAUUUUAUUGGUUUAAAUUGCGUAUGAAGAUAAUGAUUAAUAGGGACAGUUGGGGGUAUUCAUAUUGGGUGGUUAGCGGUGAAAUGCUCGGAUCCAUUCAAGAUGAACUAAAGCGAAAGCAUUUACCAAGGAUGUUUUCAUUAAUCAAGAACGAAAGUUAAGGGAUCGAAGACGAUUAGAUACCGUCGUAGUCUUAACUAUAAACUAUGCCGACCAGGGAUAUGAGUUGUUAGGGAUAUAUGAAAGUAUAUCCAAUUUCUUCUUAUGGACCUUGUGAGAAAUCAUAAGUUUUUGGG